AGUAUGAUGUGAAAGCCCACGGCUCAACCGUGGAGGGUCAUUGUAAACUGGGAAACUUGAGUGCAGAAGAGGAAAGUGGAAUUCCAUGUGUAGCGGUGAAAUGCGCAGAGAUAUGGAGGAACACCAGUGGCGAAGGCGACUUUCUGGUCUGUAACUGACGCUGAUGUGCGAAAGCGUGGGGAUCAAACAGGAUUAGAUACCCUGGUAGUCCACGCCGUAAACGAUGAGUGCUAAGUGUUAGGGGGUUUCCGCCCCUUAGUGCUGCAGCUAACGCAUUAAGCACUCCGCCUGGGGAGUACGACCGCAAGGUUGAAACUCAAAGGAAUUGACGGGGACCCCCACAAGCGGUGGAGCAUGU
rnacentral:rRNA from 1 species